rnacentral:rRNA from 1 species
GACGAACGCUGGCGGCGUGCCUAAUACAUGCAAGUAGAACGCUGAAGGAGGAGCUUGCUUCUCUGGAUGAGUUGCGAACGGGUGAGUAACGCGUAGGUAACCUGCCUGGUAGCGGGGGAUAACUAUUGGAAACGAUAGCUAAUACCGCAUAAUAGUAGAUGUUGCAUGACAUUUGCUUAAAAGGUGCAAUUGCAUCACUACCAGAUGGACCUGCGUUGUAUUAGCUAGUUGGUGGGGUGACGGCUCACCAAGGCGACGAUACAUAGCCGACCUGAGAGGGGGAUCGGCCACACUGGGACUGAGACACGGCCCAGACUCCUACGGGAGGCAGCAGUAGGGAAUCUUCGGCAAUGGACGGAAGUCUGACCGAGCAACGCCGCGUGAGUGAAGAAGGUUUUCGGAUCGUAAAGCUCGGUUGUAAGAGAAGAACGAGUGUGAGAGUGGAAAGUUCACACUGUGACGGUAUCUUACCAGAAAGGGACGGCUAACUACGUG